rnacentral:lncRNA from 1 species
UAGGGUGGGUUGUGAAGAAGAGGUUGAUGGAUUUUGGCGAAAUUGAUGUGAGCUGAGAAGAGGAGCUAACAGUAGGGAAAAGAUUGGUGGAAUACAAACCCGAGGUAAGAUUUGUGCUAUUCUUUAACAGGGUUUGAGGUUUUUAGAGUAUUAAAUCUUGGAUUAUCCAUAUGUUCUUGAUGUGAGAGAACUCAAGAACAAUGGUAACUUGUGAAAUAUUGAAAUCUGAAGUAAAGUAGGUUAAAUUCCUGUGUUAGGAAUUGUUAUAGUAAUACUAAAAUGGAUUCGGGUUGAGAUUUCUUAAAUUCUAAAGCUUAUGGUUGCCAUGAGAAGCUAAGGAAAACUGUAUAUGG